GUUUUUAUAAUUUAAAUAAAAUAUUAGUUUUGUAAACUAAACUUAGGGUAAUUCUUAAAAACA
rnacentral:tRNA from 1 species